rnacentral:rRNA from 1 species
UGGGGAAUUUUGGACAAUGGACGCAAGUCUGAUCCAGCCAUGCCGCGUGCGGGAAGAAGGCCUUCGGGUUGUAAACCGCUUUUGUCAGGGAAGAAACGCUCUGGGUUAAUACACUGGGGUAAUGACGGUACCUGAAGAAUAAGCACCGGCUAACUACGUGCCAGCAGCCGCGGUAAUACGUAGGGUGCAAGCGUUAAUCGGAAUUACUGGGCGUAAAGCGUGCGCAGGCGGUUAUGCAAGACAGAUGUGAAAUCCCCGGGCUCAACCUGGGAACUGCAUUUGUGACUGCAUCGCUAGAGUACGGCAGAGGGGGAUGGAAUUCCGCGUGUAGCAGUGAAAUGCGUAGAUAUGCGGAGGAACACCGAUGGCGAAGGCAAUCCCCUGGACCUGUACUGACGCUCAUGCACGAAAGCGUGGGGAGCAAA